rnacentral:rRNA from 1 species
AGUGAACGCUGGCGGCAGGCCUAACACAUGCAAGUCGAACGGCAGCACAGUAAGAGCUUGCUCUUACGGGUGGCGAGUGGCGGACGGGUGAGGAAUACAUCGGAAUCUACUUUUUCGUGGGGGAUAACGUAGGGAAUCUUACGCUAAUACCGCAUACGACCUACGGGUGAAAGCAGGGGAUCUUCGGACCUUGCGCGAUUGAAUGAGCCGAUGUCGGAUUAGCUAGUUGGCGGGGUAAAGGCCCACCAAGGCGACGAUCCGUAGCUGGUCUGAGAGGAUGGUCGGCCACACUGGAACUGGGACACGGUCCAGACUCCUACGGGAGGCAGCAGUGGGGAAUAUUGGACAAUGGGCGCAAGCCUGAUCCAGCCAUACCGCGUGGGUGAAGAAGGCCUUCGGGUUGUGAAGCCCUUUUGUUGGGAAAGAAAAGCAGCAGGUUAAUACCCCGCUGUUCUGACGGUACCCAAAGAAUAAGCACCGGCUAACUUCGUG